UUAUACCGUGGAAACUGCGAAUGGCUCAUUAAAUCAGUUAUCGUUUAUUUGAUAAUACCUUACUACUUGGAUAACCGUGGUAAUUCUAGAGCUAAUACAUGCUGAAAAUCCCGACUUCGGAAGGGAUGUGUUUAUUAGAUAAAAAACCAAUGCCCUUCGGGGCUUUUUGGUGAUUCAUGAUAACUUUACGGAUCGCAUAGCCUUGCGCUGGCGACGGUUCAUUCAAAUUUCUGCCCUAUCAACUUUCGAUGGUAAGGUAUUGGCUUACCAUGGUUUCAACGGGUAACGGGGAAUUAGGGUUCGAUUCCGGAGAGGGAGCCUGAGAAACGGCUACCACAUCCAAGGAAGGCAGCAGGCGCGCAAAUUACCCAAUCCCGACACGGGGAGGUAGUGACAAUAAAUACUGAUACAGGGCUCUUUUGGGUCUUGUAAUUGGAAUGAGUACAAUUUAAACCUCUUAACGAGGAACAAUUGGAGGGCAAGUCUGGUGCCAGCAGCCGCGGUAAUUCCAGCUCCAAUAGCGUAUAUUAAAGUUGUUGCAGUUAAAAAGCUCGUAGUUGAAACUUGGGCCUGGCUGGCGGGUCCGCCUCACCGCGUGCACUCGUCCGGCCGGGCCUUCCUUCUGAAGAACCUCAUGCCCUUCACUGGGCGUGCUGGGGAAUCAGGACUUUUACUUUGAAAAAAUUAGAGUGUUCAAAGCAGGCCUUUGCUCGAAUACGUUAGCAUGGAAUAAUAAAAUAGGGCGUGCGUUUCUAUUUUGUUGGUUUCUAGAGACGCCGCAAUGAUGAACAGGAACAGUCGGGGGCAUCAGUAUUCAGUUGUCAGAGGUGAAAUUCUAGGAUUUACUGAAGACUAACUACUGCGAAAGCAUUUGCCAAGGAUGUUUUCUUAAUCAAUGAACGAGAGUUAGGGGAUCGAAAACGAUCAAAUACCGUCGUAUUCUUACCGUAAACUAUGCCGACUAGGGAUCGGCCAUG
rnacentral:rRNA from 1 species